rnacentral:rRNA from 1 species
CAUGCAAGUCGAGGGGUAACAGGGAUUGCUUGCAAUCCGCUGACGACCGGCGCACGGGUGCGUAACGCGUAUGCAACCUACCUUCUACAGGGGGAUAGUCAAUAGAAAUGUUGAAUAAUACCCCAUACGAUCUUUGAAUAGCAUUAUUUAAAGAAGAAAGUUCCGGCGGUAGAAGAUGGGCAUGCGUCCUAUUAGUUAGUUGGAGAGGUAACGGCUCCCCAAGACAUCGAUAGGUAGGGGUCCUGAGAGGGAGACCCCCCACACUGGUACUGAGACACGGACCAGACUCCUACGGGAGGCAGCAGUGAGGAAUAUUGGACAAUGGAGGCAACUCUGAUCCAGCCAUGCCGCGUGCAGGAAGACUGCCCUAUGGGUUGUAAACUGCUUUUAUACAGGAAGAAAUGUACCUACGUGUAGGUAUUUGACGGUACUGUACGAAUAAGGAUCGGCUAACUCCGUGCCAGCAGCCGCGGUAAUACGGAGGAUCCAAGCGUUAUCCGGAAUCAUUGGGUUUAAAGGGUCCGUAGGCGGUCUUUUAAGUCAGAGGUGAAAUCCUACAGCUCAACUGUAGAAUUGCCUUUGAUACUGAAGGACUUGAGUUAUUGUGAAGUAGUUAGAAUGUGUGGUGUAGCGGUGAAAUGCAUAGAAAUCACACAGAAUACCGAUUGCGAAGGCAGAUUACUAACAAUAUACUGACGCUGAGGGACGAAAGCGUGGGUAGCGAACAGGAUUAGAUACCCUGGUAGUCCACGCCGUAAACGAUGGAUACUAGCUGUUCGACCAACAUU